GAUCUGUUAAAAGCGUCGCCCGAGGGCAGUCGCUCUCCUCCGCUGUUCGUUCCUUCGCGCCUACUAUGAGCAGCCAUCAUGGGAAAUCACACAUAAUCUCCUACCCGGUCAUCAGUUGCAGGUGUGCUGCCAGUCAUCCGAGCCCACCUGCUUCUUCUAAUCAACCAACUGACUUAAACCCUGGAUCUCCACCCAGCCAGUACCAGUUCGCCCGUUGCCUGCGGUAGUGGACAGACAUUUGACCCGGUUUUCCUGGAGCUGAUUUUUCGUUACGACUGAUUUAUUUUCUCCCGUGAUUUUUUUGUUACUAAAUAGAGAUUUUUUACUGAUCUGCAUUUGGAUUCUUAUUUUUUUUGAGACCACAACAAUUAGAUCCCAUAUAGCACAUACAACAAUGUAACAUUAGAGAUUGGAACAGUAGAGGGCACACACAUUAGCGACAUUAGCAUAGAUAUGUGAACUACAGUGCUAACAUUAGACAUAGGGCUGGGCGAUAUAUCGAUAUACACGAUAUAUCGCGGGUUUGUCUCUGUCCGAUAUAGAAAAUGACUAUAUUGUGAUAUUCGAGUAUACGUUCUCACACAGUUGCUUUUAGCUGCGGGCAUUACAUGACAGGCUCUCCUCACUCUUUCCUGUAUCUCCUUCUCACAGACAAGCGCACUUUCUGACACACAUCACAUACUGUCACGUCAUACGUCACAUACUGUCACGUCAUACGUCACAUACGUAUACGCUCUCACCCAGCAGAAAGGUAGCAGCAUGGGUAACGUUAGCUGUGAUGCUAGCGGAGCCAUGCGAGUGGUAAUACGAGAGAAAGAAGGUGCGAAUGAAGGAAGAAUUAAUUCCCAAGAAAAACAGCAGGGGGUCCAUCGUCUGCCGGUGGUUUGGCUUCAAGUGGGAAUAUGUCAUACAAACAACCGUAAUUUGUCAAGUGUGGGCCAAAAGCGUUGCUAUAAAAAGUAGCAUCACUGCUAAUAUGUAGCAUCAUUUGAAAAGUCACCUGCUAGAGAAUGAAGAUCAUUUAAUAACGUCCGUAGUAACCUACCACAUAGCGAAGGACGAAUACUAUUUCAUUUCCUAUUAUGCAGCUCAUUUAUAUUUGACACUUUAAAUGUCUCAACUUGUCCAGGGUAUACACCGCCUUCCGCCCGAUUGUAGCUGAGAUAGGUACCAGCGCCCCCCGCGGCUCCAAAGGGAAUAACCGGUAGAAAAUGGAUGGAUGGAUUUAAAAUGCCUCUGACAAUCUUGCACUUUCUUUUUGGAAAUGACAUGAACGUUUGUGCCACUGCUUAAUAACUGUUUAAUAAAUACAGUUUUGGUCAAUUGA